AUCCAGCUGAUGAGUUUCAAAUAGAACGAGACUCGCGUUCUGUAU
rnacentral:hammerhead_ribozyme from 1 species